CAUUGAAACACCUGUUCUUGUACUGAUCACCGAAGUUAAGCAACAUCGAGCCUGGUCAAUACCUAGGUGGGAGACCGUUUGCGAAUAACAGUUGGAU